CCUAAAAUCCCUUUCNAGUCGGUAGAGCGACGGACUGUUAAUCCGCAGGUCCCUGGUUCGAGCCCAGGUUGGAGAGCCA
rnacentral:tRNA from 1 species